CACCCUGGUUUAUAAUAAACCCCUCUCUCGGGUCGAGAUAGACCUUGCAAUUUUUUGUUUUUAAACGAGGAAUGCCUUGGUGGGCAGGAGUCAUCAGCUCGUGCCGAUUACGUCCCUGCCCUUUGUACACACCGCCCGUCGCUACUACCGAUUGAAUGGCUCAGUGAGGCCUUCGGACUGGCUCAGGAGGGUUGGCAACGACCCCCCAGAGCCGGAAAGUUGGUCAAACUCGGUCAUUUAGAGGAAGUAAAAGUCGUAACAAGGUUUCCGUAGGUGAACCUGCGGAAGGAUCAUUACCGAGUGAGGGCCCUGGUCCAACCUCCCACCCGUGUUUAUCGUACCUUGUUGCUUCGGCGGGCCCGCCUCACGGCCGCCGGGGGGCAUCCGCCCCCGGGCCCGCGCCCGCCGAAGACACACAAACGAACUCUUGUCUGGUAUUCCGGGGGGCAUGCCUGUCCGAGCGUCAUUGCUGCCCUCAAGCACGGCUUGUGUGUUGGGCUCUCGCCCCCCGCUUCCGGGGGGCGGGCCCGAAAGGCAGCGGCGGCACCGCGUCCGGUCCUCGAGCGUAUGGGGCUUCGUCACCCGCUCUGUAGGCCCGGCCGGCGCCCGCCGGCGAACACCAUCAAUCUUAACCAGGUUGACCUCGGAUCAGGUAGGGAUACCCGCUGAACUUAAGCAUAUCAAUAAGCGGAGGAAAAGAAACCAACAGGGAUUGCCUCAGUAACGGCGAGUGAAGCGGCAAGAGCUCAAAUUUGAAAGCUGGCUCCUUCGGGGUCCGCAUUGUAAUUUGCAGAGGAUGCUUCGGGAGCGGCCCCCAUCUAAGUGCCCUGGAACGGGCCGUCAUAGAGGGUGAAAAUCCCGUCUGGGAUGGGGUGUCCGCGCCCGUGGAAGUUCCUCGAUGCC
rnacentral:rRNA from 1 species